ACGAAGAGGGUGAGGAAGUUGGUCAGGUGACGGGUUGAGCAUGACACAGGGCCCAUGGGCUAAGCUGGGACUAUGGCUGGUAUGGUGGACUUGUUCUGGAGAGAAGAUUGAUUGACCUUCUGUCCAUUUCAAAGGUCACGGGGCACAUGAGGAGGGUCCCCAUCAAGGAAGCCAUUUUAAAGCACAUCGCGGAGGGCCAAGAUGCUUCUCAUAUGUGACCUACCCUCCAUAAUGCUCUUGUGAGAUGCGGGAUAAAACUCUUACCAGAAACAUUCAAGAAACGUAAACAGGAAAGCAAAACAAGGCACGACAGCCCUCCUGAGGGUAAUUCACAGCUGGAAAAUAGGCCAUGGCUUCUCAAACAUGUGCAUGUGUGCCUGUGUGUUUGUGUGUCUGUGUGUCUGCACCCGUGUGGUUUAGUCUUUUUUUGAACACUCCUAAAUGAGAAUGAACAACAAAGUUUUAGGUUUCUUUCACUCACUAUUUAUCCCUAAUAAUGAAUUAUCUAGAUUGGCUCAUUGCCUUCU